UACGAGGGGGGCUAGUGUUGUUCGGAUUCAUUGGGCGUAAAGGGUGUGUAGGUGGCGCGCUAAGUCGGGUGUGAAAUUUCGGAGCUUAACUCCGAAACUGCAUUCGAUACUGGCGUGCUUGAGGACUGGAGAGGAGACUGGAAUUUACGGUGUAGCAGUGAAAUGCGUAGAUAUCGUAAGGAAGACCAGUGGCGAAGGCGGGUCUCUGGACAGUUCCUGACACUGAGACACGAAGGCCAGGGGAGCAAACGGG
rnacentral:rRNA from 1 species